rnacentral:rRNA from 1 species
UACGUAGGGUGCGAGCGUUGUCCGGAAUUAUUGGGCGUAAAGAGCUCGUAGGCGGUGUGUCACGUCGGCCGUGAAAACCUGCAGCUUAACUGUGGGCGUGCGGUCGAUACGGGCAUCACUGGAGUUCGGCAGGGGAGACUGGAAUUCCUGGUGUAGCGGUGAAAUGCGCAGAUAUCGGGAGGAACACCGGUGGCGAAGGCGGUUCUCUGGGCCUUACCUGACGCUGAGGAGCGAAAGCGUGGGGAGCGAACAGG